AACGAGGAAUUCCCAGUAAGCGCGGGUCAUAAGCUCGCGUUGAUUAAGUCCCUGCCCUUUGUACACACCGCCCGUCGCUACUACCGAUUGGGUGGUUUAGUGAGGUCCUUGGAUCGGCCCCGCCGGAGCUCCUCGCGGGCCCUGGCGGAGCGUCGAGAAGACGAUCAAACUUGACCAUCUAGAGGAAGUAUAAGUCGUAACAAGGUUUCCGUAGGUGAACCUGCGGAAGGAUCAUUA
rnacentral:rRNA from 1 species